CCUACGGGGCGCAGCAGUGGGGAAUAUUGCACAAUGGGCGCAAGCCUGAUGCAGCCAUGCCGCGUGUAUGAAGAAGGCCUUCGGGUUGUAAAGUACUUCCAGCGGGGAGGAAGGCGAUAAGGUUAAUAACCUUGUCGAUUGACGUUACCCGCAGAAGAAGCACCGGCUAACUCCGUGCCAGCAGCCGCGGUAAUACGGAGGGUGCAAGCGUUAAUCGGAAUUACUGGGCGUAAAGCGCACGCAGGCGGUCUGUCAAGUCGGAUGUGAAAUCCCCGGGCUCAACCUGGGACUGCAUUCGAAACUGGCAGGCUAGAGUCUUGUAGAGGGGGGUAGAAUUCCAGGUGUAGCGGUGAAAUGCGUAGAGAUCUGGAGGAAUACCGGUGGCGAAGGCGGCCCCCUGGACAAAGACUGACGCUCAGGUGCGAAAGCGUGGGGAGCAAACGGGAUUAGAUACCCUGGUAGUC
rnacentral:rRNA from 1 species